AGAAUUAGGACAGCAGAAGGUCGCGAUA
rnacentral:sRNA from 1 species